GACGAACGCUGGCGGCGUGCUUAACACAUGCAAGUCGAACGGAAAGGCCCUGCUCUUGUGGGGUGCUCGAGUGGCGAACGGGUGAGUAACACGCGAGUAACCUGCCCUUGACUUUGGGAUAACUUCAGGAAACUGGGGCUAAUACCGGAUAGGAGCCCCUGCUGCAUGGUGGGGGUGGGAAAGUUUCGGCGGUGGGGGAUGGACGCGCGGCUUAUCAGCUUGUUGGUGGGGUAGUGGCUUACCAAGGCUUUGACGGGUAGCCGGCCUGAGAGGGUGACCGGCCACAUUGGGACUGAGAUACGGCCCAGACUCCUACGGGAGGCAGCAGUGGGGAAUAUUGCGCAAUGGGCGGAAACCUGAUGCAGCAACGCCGCGUGCGGGAUGACGGCCUUCGGGUUGUAAACCGCUUUCGCCUGUGACGAAGCGUGAGUGACGGUAAUGGGUAAAGAAGCACCGGCUAACUACGUG
rnacentral:rRNA from 1 species